CCUACGGGAGGCAGCAGUGAGGAAUAUUGGUCAAUGGGCUUACGCCUGAACCAGCCAAGUCGCGUGAGGGAAGACUGCCCUAUGGGUUGUAAACCUCUUUUGUCAGGGAGCAAUGGGCGCUACGUGUAGCGUUAUCGAGAGUACCUGAAGAAAAAGCAUCGGCUAACUCCGUGCCAGCAGACGCGGUAAUACGGAGGAUGCGAGCGUUAUCCGGAUUUAUUGGGUUUAAAGGGUGCGUAGGCGGAAUGCCAAGUCGGCGGUAAAAUCGCGGGGCUCAACCUCGCUCCGCCGUUGAAACUGGCGGUCUUGAGUGUGCGAGAGGUAUGCGGAAUGCGUGGUGUAGCGGUGAAAUGCAUAGAUAUCACGCAGAACUCCGAUUGCGAAGGCAGCAUACCGGCGCCCAACUGACGCUGAAGCACGAAAGCGUGGGUAUCGAACAGGAUUAGAUACCCUUGUAGUC
rnacentral:rRNA from 1 species